rnacentral:rRNA from 1 species
AUGGCUGGUGGUGGGAUCGUGCAGCUGUGGGCCAACUCGGGGAUCCGAAUCGUGGUCCUCCUCAGCUUCACAUUUCAAGUUUUCCUCUUCUUCUGCGGUGGGAUUCGUCGGCAGCGUAGAGCUGCCUCCCCUCUGCUGGCUGCCCUCCUGUGGUUGGUGUACCUUCUUGCUGACUCCACGGCGAUCUACGCCCUUGGCUACCUGUCUCACUCCACUCCGCACAAGCUCGCGGCCUUCUGGGCGCCGCUUCUGUUGGUGCAUUUGGGUGGUCCGGACAGCAUCACCGCCUACACCAUUGACGACAGCCGGCUCUGGCUUCGGCACCUGCUCACUCUUGUCGUGCAAACCCUGGGAGCUGCCUAUGUCCUCUACAAGUAUGUUACCAGUGCUGGGAGGUUGCUUCUGUCAGCCUCUGUCUUGAUGUUCACCGUCGGUGUCCUCAAGUAUGGCGAGAGGACAUGGGCGCUGAGAUGUGGCAGCUUGGAAGGCAUCAAAAGCAGAAUCAGAUACAAGGAGGUUCCAGGUUCCAAAUAUUUUGGUGAUACGGUGAAGAACAAUUUGCUCAAUCAGAAAGAUGAUAAUGAGGAGGAACUUCUAAUUUUAGCUCAUUCCCUACUUGGACAAUGCAUGAAAUGCUUUGCCGGUUCCUAUGUUUGGCUUGUGGACUGUCCUCCUUGGGUAUAUCCUCUGGAAGAAGAUGACACCGACCUAUACAAGUUUGUUGAGAUGCAGUUAUCCCUCAUGUAUGAUAUCAUGUACACAAAGGCUUGGGUGAUCCACACAUGGUACGGUUACUUCACCCGUGUCUUUUCUCUUGUCGCAACAAUAGUCACCAUACUGCUCUUCUCAUUCAGCAACAAAAAUGGUUAUAGUAGGGUUGAUGUUCGUAUCACGUAUUUUUUGUUAGCUGGGGCUGUAACCUUGGAGAUCAUAUCAGUGCUGACAACUAUAGGGUCGAUAUGGAUGUGUGCCUGGCUGUGUAGCCUCAAAAGGACCCAUCUGCUUGUAAAUGUGCUAAAAUUCCUUCGCCGUCUUGUCCGAUCAGCAAGCAAGAGAAGGCACUCGAUCUCCAUUGGGCAGUAUAAUCUGUUACACUUUUGCACUCGUGACAAGAAUGAGCUAGGCAGCAAAGCAGCAAAGAAGAUGGGGCUCGACAAAUGGUGGACAAGUCUACAUUUCGUGUGCACCGCAGACAUCUCGAAAACAAGUCUUCCGGUGCUGCUUUUGGAAACCAAGACCAAAUUAGACCCUGAGUACUCAAAAGGCAUCCAAAUACUGGAGAGGAGCGGAUUACGCAAGGAACAAGCUGGAUGGAGUCACUGGAGUUUGAGUUUGAACCUUGACUUUGGAAAGAGCCUCCUCAUCUGGCACCUUGCAACUGAUGUCUACCUUAUUAGAUCCAAGGAGGUUGGACGUCAAGAAAAUCUAGCUAAAACAGUCCAGAUGUUGUCCAAUUACAUGAUGUUCCUGCUAGUGACCAAGCCCGACAUGCUACCUGGCUAUAUUGAUAAAACCUGGCUUGAGCGCACCCGCGACUCCUUGGAGGAGGACUGGUUGUCUGAGGACCAAGAAAAUACAGAAUCGCCCAAGAAAUGGUGGGGCAUGUUGAAGAAACAAUUCCGCAACGAUGGACCCAAUGGUUCCAGGAUCCAACAGAUAGAGCAGCUUGCUUCAAAUUUUCAUAGCAGGUUCCUCAGUGAUCACGAGGGAAAGUGGGAGUACGCCCCCCCUAAACACGAAGAAGCAGGUCCACAAAAACACUAUUGGGCUGCUGAUGUGCAUGCAACAGAACUUGCAGCGGAGUUUCUCCAUUUGGAAUCGAGCGUACCCAACUUGUUGCAAGUAAUUAUUCAGGUGUGGCUGGAAAUGUUGUUCUAUGCUGCCGGGCGCUGCGGCCCGGAAUCCCAUGCUCGUCAGCUUAGCAGGGGCGGCGAAUUCAUUACGGUUGUGUGGCUUCUCACUCAACACUUCAAUCCCGACUAUCUAGAUAAUGUUUGA